UUAUUAUAUAAAGUAUGGUUUUCAAAGUUGCUAACUCAUACGAUCGUGCCACGUGUCAAGUCAAACGAUCAGAUGUUUACAUGUGUCAUUUAAAAUUUAACUUUUUUAUUUUCUAAAAAGAAUAGAAAAUCUU
rnacentral:sRNA from 1 species